UACGGAGGGUGCAAGCGUUAUCCGGAUUCACUGGGUUUAAAGGGAGCGUAGGUGGGUUGGUAAGUCAGUGGUGAAAUCUCCGAGCUUAACUUGGAAACUGCCAUUGAUACUAUCAAUCUUGAAUACUGUGGAGGUAAGCGGAAUAUAUCAUGUAGCGGUGAAAUGCUUAGAUAUGAUAUAGAACACCAGUAGCGAAGGCAGCUUACUACGCAGUUAUUGACACUGAGGCUCGAAAGCGUGGGGAUCAAACAGG
rnacentral:rRNA from 1 species